rnacentral:rRNA from 1 species
GAUGAACGCUGGCGGCGUGCCUAAUACAUGCAAGUCGAGCGAACAGACGAGGAGCUUGCUCCUCUGACGUUAGCGGCGGACGGGUGAGUAACACGUGGAUAAUCUACCUAUAAGACUGGGAUAACUUCGGGAAACCGGAGCUAAUACCGGAUAAUAUAUUGAACCGCAUGGUUCAAUAGUGAAAGACGGUUUUGCUGUCACUUAUAGAUGGAUCCGCGCCGCAUUAGCUAGUUGGUAAGGUAACGGCUUACCAAGGCAACGAGGCGUAGCCGACCUGAGAGGGUGAUCGGCCACCCUGGAACUUAGACACGGUCCAGGCUCCUACGGGAGGCAGCAGUCGGGAAUCUUCCGCAAUGGGCGAAAGCCUGACGGAGCAACGCCGCGUGAGUGAUGAAGGUCUUCGGAUCGUAAAACUCUGUUAUUAGGGAAGAACAAAUGUGUAAGUAACUAUGCACGUCUUGACGGUACCUAAUCAGAAAGCCACGGCUAACUACGUG